GAAGAAUAAGAAGAAGAAGUUGAGGAUUAAAUCUUCCUAUUUGCCGAAAAUUGGAUGCUUGAGGAUUGAACAGGAUGAGGAAGGGAAUUUUGAUGCGGCGGGGGAUACUAUCGGGGGGGCCGNCGGAGAGCCGGCCAAUCCGGCUCAUCUGGUUGUAAUGGUUAAUGGCAUCAUUGGCAGCGCUGAGAAUUGGAAAUUCGCCGCCAAGCAGUUCUUGAAUAAAUAUCCCCGAGAUGUUAUAGUUUACUGCAGCAAAACUAAUUCUGGAACAUUGACAUUUGAUGGUGUUGACGUAAUGGGAGCAAGAUUAGCAGAAGAGGUUAUAUCAGUGAUAAAACGUCACCCCUCUGUUAAGAAGAUUUCAUUCAUAGGUCAUGGGUGGGCUAGUAGCAAGAUAUGCUAUUGCUAAGCUCUAUGGACAUGAUCUCACGAAGGAACUUUCUCAAGGAAAUGGAGACUGUAAAAGUGAUGUCAAUGGAGAUACGGGAAUGGAAGACAAAAUCAAAAAUAGAAUUGCUGGAUUGGAGCCAGUGAAUUUCAUAACCCUUGCUACCCCACAUCUUGGUUCAAGGUGGCAUAAACAAGUCCCCUUGUUUUGUGGCUCUUACACCAUGGAAAAAGUGGCCGCUCGUAUUUCAUGGUUUCUUGGUAGAACUGGAAAACAUCUGUUCUUGACUGAUGGUGACAAUGGAAAACCUCCUCUUCUUCUUCAAAUGGUUAGCGACUCUGAAGAUCUUAAAUUUAUGUCUGCUUUGCAGUCCUUCGAGCGUCAUGUUGCCUAUGCAAAUAUACGUUUUGACAACCUUGUAGGAUGGAGCACAUCAUCUUUACGGUGGCAAAAUGAGCUUCCAAAGAGACGACAUCUUUCAAGAGAUGAGAAAUACCCACAUAUAGUGCACGUGGAACCAUCGACAACGUCUGGCCCUCAGCAAGAAUUCCCUUUGGAUGCC
rnacentral:misc_RNA from 1 species